GGGCUCAUAGCUCAGCUGGGAGAGCACCUGCCUUACAAGCAGGGGGUCACAGGUUCGAGCCCUGUUGAGCCCA
rnacentral:tRNA from 2 species